GGAGGAUUGUCCGAGCGGCCGAAGGAGGCGGUCUUGAAAACCGUUAUGCGGUAACCCCGCAUCGGGGGUUCAAAUCCCUCAUCCUCCG
rnacentral:tRNA from 1 species